rnacentral:rRNA from 1 species
CCGUUGCCGGCGACCGGCGCACGGGUGAGUAACACGUAUGCAACCUGCCCGUGGCAGGGGGAUAAGCGGGGAAACCCCGUCUAAUACCGCGUAACGCGGCCUUGGGGCAUCCCAAGGCCGCCAAAGGGAGCAAUCCCGGCCACGGAUGGGCAUGCGGCGCAUUAGCUAGUCGGCGGGGUAACGGCCCACCGAGGCGACGAUGCGUAGGGGUUCUGAGAGGAAGGCCCCCCACACUGGUACUGAGACACGGACCAGACUCCUACGGAAGGCAGCAG